rnacentral:rRNA from 1 species
UACAGAGGGUGCAAGCGUUGUUCGGAAUUAUUGGGCGUAAAGGGAGUGUAGGCGGUCUUUUAAGUCUUCUGUGAAAUCUACGGGCUUAGCCUGUAACGUGCAGAGGAAACUGGAAGGCUUGAGUGUCGGAGAGGAUAGGGGAAUACCCAGUGUAGAGGUGAAAUUCGUAGAGAUUGGGUGGAACACCAGUGGCGAAGGCGCCUAUCUGGCUGACAACUGACGUUGAGACUCGAAAGCAUGGGGAGCAAACAGG